rnacentral:rRNA from 1 species
UACGGAGGGGGCUAGCGUUGUUCGGAAUUACUGGGCGUAAAGCGCACGUAGGCGGCUUUGUAAGUUAGAGGUGAAAGCCCGGGGCUCAACUCCGGAAUUGCCUUUAAGACUGCAUCGCUAGAAUUGUGGAGAGGUAAGUGGAAUUCCGAGUGUAGAGGUGAAAUUCGUAGAUAUUGGGAAGAACACCGGUGGCGAAGGCGGCGACCUGGUCCGAUACUGACGCUGAGGCGCGAAAGCGUGGGGAACAAACAGG